rnacentral:snRNA from 1 species
AGGCGAGAGAGACUGUAAGGCUG